CCUACGGGUGGCAGCAGUGGGGAAUAUUGCACAAUGGGCGAAAGCCUGAUGCAGCAACGCCGCGUGAAGGAAGAAGGCCUUCGGGUCGUAAACUUCUGUCCUUGGGGAAGAAGAACUGCCGGUACCCAAGGAGGAAGCCCCGGCUAACUACGUGCCAGCAGCCGCGGUAAUACGUAGGGGGCAAGCGUUAUCCGGAAUUAUUGGGCGUACAGAGUACGUAGGUGGCAACCUAAGCGCAGGGUUUAAGGCAAUGGCGCAACCAUUGUUCGCCCUGCGAACUGGGAUGCUUGAGUGCAGGAGAGGAAAGCGGAAUUCCUAGUGUAGCGGUGAAAUGCGUAGAUAUUAGGAGGAACACCAGUGGCGAAGGCGGUCUGCUGGACAGCAACUGACGGUGAGGCGCGAAAGCGUGGGGAGCAAACAGGAUUAGAUACCCCGGUAGUC
rnacentral:rRNA from 1 species